rnacentral:rRNA from 1 species
UUAAGUUAAUAAGGGCGCACGGUGGAUGCCUUGGCACUAGGAGCCGAAGAAGGACGUGACAAACGACGAUAUGCCUUGGGUAGCUGUAAGUAAGCGAUGAUCCAGGGAUUUCCGAAUGGGGGAACCCAACAGGUACUACCUGUUACCCGCAUCUGUUAAGGAUGUGAGGAGGAAGACGCAGUGAACUGAAACAUCUAAGUAGCUGCAGGAAGAGAAAGCAAAAGCGAUUGCCUUAGUAGCGGCGAGCGAAACGGCAGGAGGGCAAACCGAAGAGUUUACUCUUCGGGGUUGUAGGACUGCAAUGUGGACUCAAAGAUUAUAGAAGAAUGAUUUGGGAAGAUCAGCCAAAGAGAGUAAUAGCCUCGUAUUUAAAAUAGUCUUUGUACCUAGCAGUAUCCUGAGUACGGCGGGACACGUGAAAUCCCGUCGGAAUCUGGGAGGACCAUCUCCCAACCCUAAAUACUCCCUAGUGACCGAUAGUGAACCAGUACCGUGAGGGAAAGGUGAAAAGCACCCCGGGAGGGGAGUGAAAUAGAACCUGAAACCGUGUGCCUACAACAAGUUCGAGCCCGUUAAUGGGUGAGAGCGUGCCUUUUGUAGAAUGAACCGGCGAGUUACGUUAUGAUGCGAGGUUAAGUUGAAGAGACGGAGCCGUAGGGAAACCGAGUCUGAAUAGGGCGCCUUAGUAUCAUGACGUAGACCCGAAACCAUGUGACCUACCCAUGAGCAGGUUGAAGGUGCGGUAAGACGCACUGGAGGACCGAACCAGGGCACGUUGAAAAGUGCUUGGAUGACUUGUGGGUAGCGGAGAAAUUCCAAACGAACUUGGAGAUAGCUGGUUCUCUCCGAAAUAGCUUUAGGGCUAGCGUCGACAUUAGAGAUUCUUGGAGGUAGAGCACUGUUUGGGUGAGGGGUCCAUCCCGGAUUACCAAUCUCAGAUAAACUCCGAAUGCCAAAGAAUUAUGGUCGGCAGUCAGACUGCGAGUGCUAAGAUCCGUAGUCGAAAGGGAAACAGCCCAGACCACCAGCUAAGGUCCCAAAAUAAUUGUUAAGUGGAAAAGGAUGUGGGGUUGCACAGACAACUAGGAUGUUAGCUUAGAAGCAGCUAUUCAUUCAAAGAGUGCGUAAUAGCUCACUAGUCGAGUGACCCUGCGCCGAAAAUGUACCGGGGCUAAAACAAUUUACCGAAGCUGUGGAUACCUUUAUAGGUAUGGUAGGAGAGCGUUCUAUGUGUGAAGAAGGUAUACCGUGAGGAGUGCUGGAACGCAUAGAAGUGAGAAUGCCGGUAUGAGUAGCGAAAGACAGGUGAGAAUCCUGUCCACCGUAAGACUAAGGUUUCCAGGGGAAGGCUCGUCCGCCCUGGGUUAGUCGGGACCUAAGGAGAGACCGAAAGGUGUAUCCGAUGGACAACAGGUUGAUAUUCCUGUACUAGAGUAUGUAGUGAUGGAGGGACGCAGUAGGCUAACUAAAGCAGACGAUUGGAAGUGUCUGUCUAAGCAGUGAGGUGUGAAUUGAGUUAAAUGCUUAGUUCUAUAACAUUGAGCUGUAAUGGGGAGCGAAGUUUAGUAGCGAAGUUAGUGACGUCACACUGCCAAGAAAAGCUUCUAGCGUUUAAACAUACUCUACCCGUACCGCAAACCGACACAGGUAGUCGAGGCGAGUAGCCUCAGGUGAGCGAGAGAACUCUCGUUAAGGAACUCGGCAAAAUGACCCCGUAACUUCGGGAGAAGGGGUGCUGACUUUACGUCAGCCGCAGUGAAUAGGCCCAAGCAACUGUUUAUCAAAAACACAGCUCUCUGCUAAAUCGUAAGAUGAUGUAUAGGGGGUGACGCCUGCCCGGUGCUGGAAGGUUAAGAGGAGUGCUUAGCGUAAGCGAAGGUAUGAAUUGAAGCCCCAGUAAACGGCGGCCGUAACUAUAACGGUCCUAAGGUAGCGAAAUUCCUUGUCGGGUAAGUUCCGACCCGCACGAAAGGCGUAAUGAUUUGGGCACUGUCUCAACGAGAGACUCGGUGAAAUUUUAGUACCUGUGAAGAUGCAGGUUACCCGCGACAGGACGGAAAGACCCCAUGGAGCUUUACUGCAGUUUGAUAUUGAGUGUCUGUACCACAUGUACAGGAUAGGUAGGAGUCUACGAGAUCGGGACGCCAGUUUCGAAGGAGACGUUGUUGGGAUACUACCCUUGUGUUAUGGCCACUCUAACCCAGAUAGGUGAUCCCUAUCGGAGACAGUGUCUGACGGGCAGUUUGACUGGGGCGGUCGCCUCCUAAAAGGUAACGGAGGC